AGAGUUUGAUUCUGGCUCAGAACGAACGCUGGCGGCAGGCCUAACACAUGCAAGUCGAGCGCGCCCUUCGGGGUGAGCGGCGGACGGGUUAGUAACGCGUGGGAACGUACCCUUUGGUAGGGAAUAGCCACUGGAAACGGUGAGUAAUACCCUAUGAGCCCUUCGGGGGAAAGAUUUUAUCGCCAAAGGAUCGGCCCGCGUUAGAUUAGGUAGUUGGUGGGGUAAUGGCCUACCAAGCCUACGAUCUAUAGCUGGUUUUAGAGGAUGAUCAGCAACACUGGGACUGAGACACGGCCCAGACUCCUACGGGAGGCAGCAGUGGGGAAUCUUGGACAAUGGGGGCAACCCUGAAUCCAGCCAUGCCGCGUGAGUGAAGAAGGCCUUAGGGUCGUAAAGCUCUUUCGCCUGUGAAGAUAAUGACGGUAGCAGGUAAAGAAACCCCGGCUAACUCCGUGCCAGCCGCGGC
rnacentral:rRNA from 1 species